GAGUUCGCAGCCGGAACGUUGCAGGCACUUGUUUCCUCAGUGGAUGCCUUUCGGCGCGCCGCCGCCCGGCGCCGCGGGACUGGGAGACCGGGAGUUGAGAAGAGGAGGAAGAAUAAUGGGAGGAGACAGGACCUUUUUCAACUUGACAAAUAGAGUCAACUUUUAUAACACUGUUACUGGGAAUACUUGACUUACUAAGCUUUUACUGAACACUUUAAUUUUGGGAGUACAAUUUCUAAACUCACGAAAUAAUCUUCAUGCAACAAGAUGUUAUUUUAUCAAAUUUUGGUAUUACAUGCUCAUUCUUUGACAAAUUUUAAUUAACAGAUUUCUGAGAGAGCAGACACCAUCUUAUUUCUGUUGAAUUGUAUUUAGUAACUCAAAAGGCAUAUACCAAGCUGUCAGAAGCAGCUUCAUUUAAAAGGGAUUAUAAUACCUACCUAUGACAGAGACUGCCAAAUAUACUCCAGUAGCCAUUCUGCUUUUCUUCUUUUCAGAAAUAAAAUUUCUAGUCCUGCCUGAAGUUUAAGCUAGCCCAUGACUACACAAGUGCAACUGUAUUUCCCAGGUAGAUGCCGGUAGAUUGGGCCCAGUAAGUUUGGGCCGUUGGGAUGUGAAAGGAAGAGAUGCGGGCAACUUUUUGGGUCAUCUUCUUAAAGAAAAAGCCAUUUGUCCUGGAUGCCCUCUUUUCUUUUUUCUCUUUGGCUGGGAAAUGACAAGAAUUAAAGCAGCAGCCUUGGAUCCAGAGAUGGACGCCAAUUGAUGAAGACAGCAGAACUGACUGGCUAGUCUGGGUUCCCUGGAGCAGAGCUGUCUCUCCACCCUAGGUUAUCCACUUACUUUUGUACUGUUAUGUGAGAGAGAAAUAAACUUCUAUCUUCUUUAAGCCCUUGUUUUUUUUGGUAUUUCUUUGUUAUAGCUGAUUAGUCUGCCCAGUGGCCU
rnacentral:lncRNA from 1 species